rnacentral:rRNA from 1 species
UACGGUUACCUUGUUACGACUUCACCCCAGUCAUAGGCCACACCGUGGUAAGCGUCCUCCCGAGGGUUAGACUACCUACUUCUGGUGCCACCUACUUCCAUGGCGUGACCGGCGGUGUGCACAAGACCCGGGAACGUAUUCACCGUGACAAUGCUGAUUCCCGAUUACUAGCGAUUCCGACUUCUUGCGACUGAGUUGCCCACUCCAAUCCGGACUACGACCGGCUUUCUGGGAUCCAAUCCCCCUCACGGGUUCUCCCCCCUCUGAAUCGGCCAUUGUCUUACUUGUGUACCCCUGCCCACCACCGCCCAUGAGCACUUACCGUUAUCUCCUUCUUCCUGAGGGCUAUCACCCUCCCACCAUCGUACAGCCUUACCCCAUUCCCGGAUGCCAGCUUACUCCCUCUCAUUGGCGAACACUGAUGUCACUUACCCCUACUUUAACAUCUCUCCCAUAACUCAUGUACCCGCCAUUGCCCCCUCUAUCUCUUUACGCGCUCAUAAACCCUCUCCCCAUCCACUCACUGCUUUCCAUCUUUUUUUCUUCUGUAUCCCCACUAGCUAGAACUAUGUCCUCCCCCCCCCCUAAAUUUCCCUUGGUACUUCAAACCCUUAUUUAGUCUUCCCCCCCCCUUAAGCUUUGCCCCCUCCUAUUAUUCCACUCCAGUAGUGUAUUUUCUUUUCCGUCCC